rnacentral:rRNA from 1 species
CGAACGCUGGCGGCGUGCUUAACACAUGCAAGUCGAACGGAAAGGCCCUGCUUUUGUGGGGUGCUCGAGUGGCGAACGGGUGAGUAACACGUGAGUAACCUGCCCUUGACUUUGGGAUAACUUUAGGAAACUGGGGCUAAUACCGGAUAGGAGCUCCUGCUGCAUGGUGGGGGUUGGAAAGUUUCGGCGGUUGGGGAUGGACUCGCGGCUUAUCAGCUUGUUGGUGGGGUAGUGGCUUACCAAGGCUUUGACGGGUAGCCGGCCUGAGAGGGUGACCGGCCACAUUGGGACUGAGAUACGGCCCAGACUCCUACGGGAGGCAGCAGUGGGGAAUAUUGCACAAUGGGCGGAAGCCUGAUGCAGCAACGCCGCGUGCGGGAUGACGGCCUUCGGGUUGUAAACCGCUUUCGCCUGUGACGAAGCGUGAGUGACGGUAAUGGGUAAAGAAGCACCGGCUAACUACGUG